CCUACGGGAGGCAGCAGUGAGGAAUAUUGGUCAAUGGGCGCGAGCCUGAACCAGCCAAGUCGCGUGAGGGAGGACGGCCCUACGGGUUGUAAACCUCUUUUGCCGGGGAGCAACGGGCGCCACGUGUGGCGUCACUGAGAGUACCCGGAGAAAAAGCAUCGGCUAACUCCGUGCCAGCAGCCGCGGUAAUACGGAGGAUGCGAGCGUUAUCCGGAUUUAUUGGGUUUAAAGGGUGCGUAGGCGGAAUGCCAAGUCAGCGGUAAAAUCGCGGGGCUCAACCUCGCUCCGCCGUUGAAACUGGCGUUCUUGAGUGGGCGAGAAGUAUGCGGAAUGCGUGGUGUAGCGGGGAAAUGCAUAGACAUCACGCAGAACUCCGAUUGCGAAGGCAGCAUACCGGCGCCCAACUGACGCUGAAGCACGAAAGCGUGGGUAUCGAACAGGAUUAGAUACCCGGGUAGUC
rnacentral:rRNA from 1 species